UACGUAGGGUGCAAGCGUUGUCCGGAAUUAUUGGGCGUAAAGAGCUCGUAGGCGGUCUGUCGCGUCGGCUGUGAAAACUCGGGGCUCAACUCCGAGCUUGCAGUCGAUACGGGCAGACUAGAGUGCGGUAGGGGAGACUGGAAUUCCUGGUGUAGCGGUGAAAUGCGCAGAUAUCAGGAGGAACACCGGUGGCGAAGGCGGGUCUCUGGGCCGUAACUGACGCUGAGGAGCGAAAGCAUGGGGAGCGAACAGG
rnacentral:rRNA from 1 species